UGAUCUCGCCGGAAACGUCUCCUUUCAUCACCUUCACAGCAGCGUGAUCGCCCUUAAAGGAUCCCUUGUAAACAGAACCUUUAAUCUUGUUCUCUUCUUUGAAAUAGCCCGUGGCAGAUUGUAUGUCCUCAAAUUUGUAGAUGAUCAAGGACUCGAUGGAAUGUUGAAUUCCCUCAUAAGUAAUAGGGAGAUCAUUAUUUUUGGAUGCAAUGGCUUCCUGAGGUUUUUGAUGAGACGGAAGAGGAGAAUGAAAAUACCAAUAUGAAAGUGCAGAAAAGGUAACAAGAAUAAGCAAGCCAGCUCCAAUUCCAACACCCACAUACACCCCCUUCUUGGAAGAGUUGGAUUCUGAGACAAGAACGACGUCCACUGGUGGAGACCGUGUUGGAGGUGGAGAAUAUGGGG
rnacentral:misc_RNA from 1 species